GAACGCUGGCGGCAGGCCUAACACAUGCAAGUCGAGCGGUAGCACAGAGAGCUUGCUCUCGGGUGACGAGCGGCGGACGGGUGAGUAAUGUCUGGGAAACUGCCUGAUGGAGGGGGAUAACUACUGGAAACGGUAGCUAAUACCGCAUAACGUCGCAAGACCAAAGUGGGGGACCUUCGGGCCUCAUGCCAUCAGAUGUGCCCAGAUGGGAUUAGCUAGUAGGUGGGGUAACGGCUCACCUAGGCGACGAUCCCUAGCUGGUCUGAGAGGAUGACCAGCCACACUGGAACUGAGACACGGUCCAGACUCCUACGGGAGGCAGCAGUGGGGAAUAUUGCACAAUGGGCGCAAGCCUGAUGCAGCCAUGCCGCGUGUAUGAAGAAGGCCUUCGGGUUGUAAAGUACUUUCAGCGGGGAGGAAGGCGAUAAGGUUAAUAACCUUGUCGAUUGACGUUACCCGCAGAAGAAGCACCGGCUAACUCCGUGCCAGCAGCCGCGGUAAUACGGAGGGUGCAAGCGUUAAUCGGAAUUACUGGGCGUAAAGCGCACGCAGGCGGUCUGUCAAGUCGGAUGUGAAAUCCCCGGGCUCAACCUGGGAACUGCAUUCGAAACUGGCAGGCUAGAGUCUUGUAGAGGGGGGUAGAAUUCCAGGUGUAGCGGUGAAAUGCGUAGAGAUCUGGAGGAAUACCGGUGGCGAAGGCGGCCCCCUGGACAAAGACUGACGCUCAGGUGCGAAAGCGUGGGGAGCAAACAGGAUUAGAUACCCUGGUAGUCCACGCCGUAAACGAUGUCGAUUUGGAGGUUGUGCCCUUGAGGCGUGGCUUCCGGAGCUAACGCGUUAAAUCGACCGCCUGGGGAGUACGGCCGCAAGGUUAAAACUCAAAUGAAUUGACGGGGGCCCGCACAAGCGGUGGAGCAUGUGGUUUAAUUCGAUGCAACGCGAAGAACCUUACCUGGUCUUGACAUCCACAGAACUUAGCAGAGAUGCUUUGGUGCCUUCGGGAACUGUGAGACAGGUGCUGCAUGGCUGUCGUCAGCUCGUGUUGUGAAAUGUUGGGUUAAGUCCCGCAACGAGCGCAACCCUUAUCCUUUGUUGCCAGCGGUUAGGCCGGGAACUCAAAGGAGACUGCCAGUGAUAAACUGGAGGAAGGUGGGGAUGACGUCAAGUCAUCAUGGCCCUUACGACCAGGGCUACACACGUGCUACAAUGGCGCAUACAAAGAGAAGCGACCUCGCGAGAGCAAGCGGACCUCAUAAAGUGCGUCGUAGUCCGGAUUGGAGUCUGCAACUCGACUCCAUGAAGUCGGAAUCGCUAGUAAUCGUAGAUCAGAAUGCUACGGUGAAUACGUUCCCGGGCCUUGUACACACCGCCCGUCACACCAUGGGAGUGGGUUGCAAAAGAAGUAGGUAGCUUAACCUUCGGGAGGGCGCUUACCACUUUGUGAUUCAUGACUGGGGUGAA
rnacentral:rRNA from 1 species